rnacentral:tRNA from 1 species
GGGCCUGUAGCUCAGCUGGUUAGAGCACUUGGUUUACACCCAAGGGGUCGUCGGUUCGAAUCCGGCCGGGCCCACCC